rnacentral:tRNA from 1 species
UAUGUGUAAUUUAAAAAAAAUAUCAAGCUGUGACCUUGACAUUAGGAAUCCCCUCACACAG